UACGUAGGUGGCAAGCGUUGUCCGGAAUUAUUGGGCGUAAAGCGCGCGCAGGCGGUCCUUUAAGUCUGAUGUGAAAGCCCACGGCUCAACCGUGGAGGGUCAUUGGAAACUGGGGGGACUUGAGUGCAGGAGAGAAGAGUGGAAUUCCACGUGUAGCGGUGAAAUGCGUAGAGAUGUGGAGGAACACCAGUGGCGAAGGCGACUCUUUGGCCUGUAACUGACGCUGAGGCGCGAAAGCG
rnacentral:rRNA from 1 species